rnacentral:rRNA from 1 species
GACGAACGCUGGCGGCGCGCUUAACACAUGCAAGUCGAGCGAAGCGGCGGACGGGUGAGUAACACGUGAGUAACCUGCCUUAGACCUUGGGAUAGCCUCGGGAAACCGGGAUUAAUACCAAAUGGUCUAAGAUGGACUCGCGUCCCAUUAGCUAGUUGGUGGGUAACGGCCCACCAAGGCGACGAUGGGUAGCCGGCCGGGGAGGGCGACCGGCCACAUUGGGACUGAGAUACGGCCCAAACUCUACGGGGGGCAGCAGUGGGGAAUAUUGCACAAUGGGGGAAACCCUGAUGCAGCAACGCCGCGUGCGGGAUGACGGCCUUCGGGUUGUAAACCGCUUUCAGCCAUGACGCGGUAGUGGCAGAAGAAGCACCGGCUAACUACGUGCCAGCAGCCGCGGUAAUAC